rnacentral:rRNA from 1 species
CAGCAGCCACGGUAAUACGGAGGGUGCAAGCGUUAAUCGGAAUUACUGGGCGUAAAGCGCACGCAGGCGGUCUGACAAGUCAGAUGUGAAAUCCCCGGGCUUAACCUGGGAACUGCAUUUGAAACUGUCAGGCUGGAGUCUUGUAGAGGGGGGUGGAAUUCCAGGUGUAGCGGUGAAAUGCGUAGAGAUCUGGAGGAAUACCGGUGGCGAAGGCGGCCCCCUGGACAAAGACUGACGCUCAGGUGCGAAAGCGUGGGGAGCAAACAGGAUUAGAUACCCCGGUAGUCCCUGUCUCUUAUAU